UGCCUAACCCCUAUGUGAAAGCGUAGGGUAUGGCAUAAAAGCGCUAUGAACAUAAAGAUCCCAUCAUCAGGGACGUUCAUAGCGUCAUACAGGGAAACCUGUGUGUAAGUCGCAAGGCUU
rnacentral:sRNA from 12 species